AUCGAUGAAGAACGCAGCGAAAUGCGAUAAGUAAUGUGAAUUGCAGAAUUCAGUGAAUCAUCGAAUCUUUGAACGCACAUUGCGCCCACUAGUAUUCUGGUGGGCAUGCCUGUUCGAGCGUCAUUACGACCCUUAAGCCUCAGUUGCUUAGUGUUGGGGGCUCGCCGUAAUUGGCGACCCCUUAAAGACAUCGGCGGAGUCGAGAUGGAACUCUGAGCGUAGUAAAUCUUUUCUCGCUUUUGAAGUCCUCACGGCCCUAGCCGCUAAACCUUAUGACCUAGUCAUCUAGUGGUUGACCUCGGAUCAGGUAGGAAUACCCGCUGAACUUAAGCAUAUCAAUAAGCGGAGGAAAAGAAACCAACAGGGAUUCCCCUAGUAACGGCGAGUGAAGCGGGAACAGCUCAAAUUUGAAAGCUGGCCUUCUGGUCCGCAUUGUAAUUUGUAGAGGAUGCUUUUGGCGCGGUGCCUUCUGAGUUCCUUGGAACAGGACGCCUUAGAGGGUGAGAGCCCCGUACAGUUGGACACCUAGCCUUUGUAAAGCUCCUUCGACGAGUCGAGUAGUUUGGGAAUGCUGCUCUAAAUGGGAGGUAAAUUUCUUCUAAAGCUAAAUACCGGCCAGAGACCGAUAGCGCACAAGUAGAGUGAUCGAAAGAUGAAAAGCACUUUGAAAAGAGGGUUAAAUAGCACGUGAAAUUGUUGAAAGGGAAGCGCUUAUGACCAGACUUUUUCCUGGCGAAUCAUCCGGCGUUCUCGCCGGUGCACUUCGCCAGGUUUAGGCCAACAUCGAUUUCCGCCGGGGGAUAAAGGCUUCGGGAAUGUGACUCCCUCCGGGGAGUGUUAUAGCCCGUUGCGUAAUACCCUGGUGGGGAUCGAGGUUCGCGCUUCGGCAAGGAUGUUGGCAUAAUGGUCAUCAGUGACCCGUCUUGAAACACG
rnacentral:rRNA from 1 species